GCUCAGCUCAGACAUCAGCCCUUGGAAGGACCUAGGUGAUGUUGCCAAGCAUGGGGAAAGCCCCUGGGGGAAGGUUAGUACCCCAACGGAGUUGUAUCCCUGGGAGGACACCGGCCGCAGCUCCAGCGUCUGCAGGCUUUUGGUGGCAGGCGUGGAAUGAAGGACAAGGCACCUGCAAAACCAAAGCUCUCUUCGGGUCUAGGAAAGCAGAACUACAACUCCCAGGAAGCCCUACGGGCUCGGAGCUCCCCGCCCCGCCCCCUGCGCCCGGUAUAAAAGAGCAGCAUGGCCCUGUAGCAGGCAGAGCGCGGAGUCUGCACGGGCGCGUGGGGCGGCUGAGGCGCUGGAGCUGAGACGCUGACACCGCGGCUGGCGUCUGCUGCUUCGCUCUUCUCCCUGGGAACUCUUAUUCGCCGCGGGUGUCCACUCUUAUACGUCAUGCGGGCCUCACGGAUCUACAGACCCCGAGUGGAAAGAGAAUUUGCCUUCCUGGAUGUGGUACAGGCUUUUCCCCGGCG
rnacentral:lncRNA from 1 species